rnacentral:rRNA from 1 species
GACGAACGCUGGCGGCGUGCUUAACACAUGCAAGUCGAACGGAAAGGCCUCUUUCGGGGGGUACUCGAGUGGCGAACGGGUGAGUAACACGUGAGUAACCUGCCCUUGACUUUGGGAUAACUUCAGGAAACUGGGGCUAAUACCGGAUAGGAGCUCCUGCUGCAUGGUGGGGGUUGGAAAGUUUCGGCGGUUGGGGAUGGACUCGCGGCUUAUCAGCUUGUUGGUGGGGUAGUGGCUUACCAAGGCUUUGACGGGUAGCCGGCCUGAGAGGGUGACCGGCCACAAUGGGACUGAGAUACGGCCCAGACUCCUACGGGGGGCAGCAGUGGGGAAUAUUGCACAAUGGGUGGAAGCCUGAUGCAGCAACGCCGUGUGCGGGAUGACGGCCUUCGGGUUGUAAACCGCUUUCGCUCAUGACGAAGCUUUGUGUGACGGUAGUGGGUAAAGAAGCACCGGCUAACUACGUG